rnacentral:lncRNA from 1 species
UAGUCUAUUUUGUAGGUAAUUGAGAGUUUGGAUUUAUACGAUUUAAACGAACUCAAAUCAGAUCAGAUUUGAGUGAACCAGACAACCAGCUCCCAUUCCAAUGUGAACGUGAUUUAAAGAUCAAGAAUCAAGAAGCAAUCUCUCCAAUCAAAGGUCCAAAUUAGAAGAUAAAUGAAACUAAGUGUGAACACGACUUAAAUCUCAAGGGCUUAGAUUAAAAGAUCACUCUUCAUGA